CUAGGAAUCUUGCGCAAUGGCCGAAAGGCUGACGCAGCGACGCCGCGUGGGGGAUGAAGGCCUUCGGGUUGUAAACCCCUGUUGCCCGGGACGAACACGCCUUUUCGAGGGCGCUGACGGUACCGGGUGAGGAAGCACCGGCUAACUCUGUGCCAGCAGCCGCGGUAAUACAGAGGGUGCGAGCGUUGUCCGGAAUCACUGGGCGUAAAGGGCGCGUAGGCGGUCCGCUAAGUGUGUGGUGAAAGCUCGGGGCUCAACUCCGAGUCGGCCGUGCAAACUGGUGGACUUGAGCAUGUCAGAGGCAGGCGGAAUUCCGGGUGUAGCGGUGGAAUGCGUAGAGAUCCGGAAGAACACCGGUGGCGAAGGCGGCCUGCUGGGACAUGGCUGACGCUGAGGCGCGACAGCGUGGGGAGCAAA
rnacentral:rRNA from 1 species